rnacentral:rRNA from 1 species
UACGUAGGGGGCAAGCGUUGUCCGGAUUUAUUGGGCGUAAAGAGCGUGUAGGCGGCCAAGCAGGUCCGCUGUGAAAACUCGAGGCUCAACCUCGAGACGCCGAUGGAAACCGCAUGGCUAGAGUCCGGAAGAGGAGAGUGGAAUUCCUGGUGUAGCGGUGAAAUGCGCAGAUAUCAGGAAGAACACCCGUGGCUAAGGCGGCUCUCUAGUACGGUACUGACGCUGAGACGCGAAAGCGUGGGGAGCGAACAGG